rnacentral:rRNA from 1 species
UACGAAGGUGGCAAGCGUUGUUCGGAUUUACUGGACGUACAGGGAGCGUAGGCGGUUGGAUAAGCCCUCCGUGAAAUCUCCAGGCUUAACCUGGAAAGUGCAGAGGGGACUGUUCAGCUAGAGGAUGGGAGAGGAGCGCGGAAUUCCCGGUGUAGCGGUGAAAUGCGUAGAGAUCGGGAGGAAGGCCGGUGGCGAAGGCGGCGCUCUGGAACAUUUCUGACGCUGAGGCUCGAAAGCGUGGGGAGCAAACAGG